CGAUUCUGGCUCAGGAUGAACGCUAGCUACAGGCUUAACACAUGCAAGUCGAGGGGCAGCAUUGGGAUAGCUUGCUAUUCAGAUGGCGACCGGCGCACGGGUGAGUAACGCGUAUCCAACCUUCCUGCCAGUAGGGAACAGCCCGGCGAAAGUCGGAUUAAUGCCCUAUGUUCUUCAAUGCGGACAUCUAAGUUGAAGGAAAGAUUCAUCGCUGGCAGAUGGGGAUGCGUCCGAUUAGCUUGCCGGCGGGGUAACGGCCCACCGGGGCGACGAUCGGUAGGGGUUCUGAGAGGAAGGUCCCCCACACUGGUACUGAGACACGGACCAGACUCCUACGGGAGGCAGCAGUGAGGAAUAUUGGUCAAUGGGCGUAAGCCUGAACCAGCCAAGUAGCGUGCAAGGAUGACGGCCCUACGGGUUGUAAACCGCUUUUAUGCGGGGAUAAAGUGCGGCACGUGUGCCGCUUUGCAGGUACCGCAUGAAUAAGGACCGGCUAAUUCCGUGCCAGCCGCUGC
rnacentral:rRNA from 1 species